GACGAACCGUCCAAACGUUAUUCGGAAUCACUGGGCUUACAGAGUUCGUAGGCUGUCUGGAAAGUUGGGUGUGAAAUCCCUCGGCUCAACCGAGGAACUGCGCUUGAAACUACCAGACUCGAGGGAGAUAGAGGAAAGCGGAACUGAUGGUGGAGCGGUGAAAUGCGUUGAUAUCAUCAGGAACACCGGUGGCGAAGGCGCUUUCUGGGUCUUACCUGACGCUGAGGAACGAAAGCGUGGGGAGCGAACAGG
rnacentral:rRNA from 1 species